rnacentral:rRNA from 1 species
CACUAUCGUUAACUGAAUACAUAGGUUAACGAGGCGAACCGGGGGAACUGAAACAUCUAAGUACCCCGAGGAAAAGAAAUCAACCGAGAUUCCCCCAGUAGCGGCGAGCGAACGGGGAGCAGCCCAGAGUCUGAAUCAGCUUGUGUGUUAGUGGAACGGUCUGGAAAGUCCGACGGUACAGGGUGAUAGUCCCGUACACCAAAAUGCACAGGCUGUGAACUCGAAGAGUAGGGCGGGACACGUGGUAUCCUGUCUGAAUAUGGGGGGACCAUCCUCCAAGGCUAAAUACUCCUGACUGACCGAUAGUGAACCAGUACCGUGAGGGAAAGGCGAAAAGAACCCCGGCGAGGGGAGUGAAAAAGAACCUGAAACCGUGUACGUACAAGCAGUGGGAGCACCUUCGGGUGUGACUGCGUACCUUUUGUAUAAUGGGUCAGCGACUUAUAUUCUGUAGCAAGGUUAACCGUAUAGGGGAGCCGCAGGGAAACCGAGUCUUAACUGGGCGUUAAGUUGCAGGGUAUAGACCCGAAACCCGGUGAUCUAGCCAUGGGCAGGUUGAAGGUUGGGUAACACUAACUGGAGGACCGAACCGACUAAUGUUGAAAAAUUAGCGGAUGACUUGUGGCUGGGGGUGAAAGGCCAAUCAAACCGGGAGAUAGCUGGUUCUCCCCGAAAGCUAUUUAGGUAGCGCCUCGUGAAUUCAUCUUCGGGGGUAGAGCACUGUUUCGGCUAGGGGGUCAUCCCGACUUACCAACCCGAUGCAAACUACGAAUACCGAAGAAUGUUAUCACGGGAGACACACGGCGGGUGCUAACGUCCGUCGUGAAGAGGGAAACAACCCAGACCGCCAGCUAAGGUCCCAAAGUCAUGGUUAAGUGGGAAACGAUGUGGGAAGGCACAGACAGCCAGGAUGUUGGCUUAGAAGCAGCCAUCAUUUAAAGAAAGCGUAAUAGCUCACUGGUCGAGUCGGCCUGCGCGGAAGAUGUAACGGGGCUAAACCAUGCACCGAAGCUGCGGCAGCGACACUAUGUGUUGUUGGGUAGGGGAGCGUUCUGUAAGCCUGCGAAGGUGACCUGUGAGGGUUGCUGGAGGUAUCAGAAGUGCGAAUGCUGACAUAAGUAACGAUAAAGCGGGUGAAAAGCCCGCUCGCCGGAAGACCAAGGGUUCCUGUCCAACGUUAAUCGGGGCAGGGUGAGUCGACCCCUAAGGCGAGGCCGAAAGGCGUAGUCGAUGGGAAACAGGUUAAUAUUCCUGUACUUGGUGUUACUGCGAAGGGGGGACGGAGAAGGCUAUGUUAGCCGGGCGACGGUUGUCCCGGUUUAAGCAUGUAGGCUGGUUGUCCAGGCAAAUCCGGAUAAUCAAGGCUGAGGUGUGAUGACGAGGCACUACGGUGCUGAAGUAACAAAUGCCCUGCUUCCAGGAAAAGCCUCUAAGCAUCAGGUAACAUCAAAUCGUACCCCAAACCGACACAGGUGGUCAGGUAGAGAAUACCAAGGCGCUUGAGAGAACUCGGGUGAAGGAACUAGGCAAAAUGGUGCCGUAACUUCGGGAGAAGGCACGCUGGUGUGUAGGUGAAGUCCCUGCGGAUGGAGCUGAGACCAGUCGAAGAUACCAGCUGGCUGCAACUGUUUAUUAAAAACACAGCACUGUGCAAACACGAAAGUGGACGUAUACGGUGUGACGCCUGCCCGGUGCCGGAAGGUUAAUUGAUGGGGUUAUCCGUAAGGAGAAGCUCUUGAUCGAAGCCCCGGUAAACGGCGGCCGUAACUAUAACGGUCCUAAGGUAGCGAAAUUCCUUGUCGGGUAAGUUCCGACCUGCACGAAUGGCGUAAUGAUGGCCAGGCUGUCUCCACCCGAGACUCAGUGAAAUUGAACUCGCUGUGAAGAUGCAGUGUACCCGCGGCAAGACGGAAAGACCCCGUGAACCUUUACUAUAGCUUGACACUGAACAUUGAGCCUUGAUGUGUAGGAUAGGUGGGAGGCUUUGAAGCGUGGACGCCAGUCUGCGUGGAGCCAACCUUGAAAUACCACCCUUUAAUGUUUGAUGUUCUAACGUUGGCCCCUGACCGGGGUUGCGGACAGUGUCUGGUGGGUAGUUUGACUGGGGCGGUCUCCUCCCAAAGCGUAACGGAGGAGCACGAAGGUUAGCUAAUCCUGGUCGGACAUCAGGAGGUUAGUGCAAUGGCAUAAGCUAGCUUGACUGCGAGCGUGACGGCGCGAGCAGGUGCGAAAGCAGGUCAUAGUGAUCCGGUGGUUCUGAAUGGAAGGGCCAUCGCUCAACGGAUAAAAGGUACUCCGGGGAUAACAGGCUGAUACCGCCCAAGAGUUCAUAUCGACGGCGGUGUUUGGCACCUCGAUGUCGGCUCAUCACAUCCUGGGGCUGAAGUAGGUCCCAAGGGUAUGGCUGUUCGCCAUUUAAAGUGGUACGCGAGCUGGGUUUAGAACGUCGUGAGACAGUUCGGUCCCUAUCUGCCGUGGGCGCUGGAGAAUUGAGGGGGGCUGCUCCUAGUACGAGAGGACCGGAGUGGACGCAUCACUGGUGUUCGGGUUGUCAUGCCAAUGGCACUGCCCGGUAGCUAAAUGCGGAAGAGAUAAGUGCUGAAAGCAUCUAAGCACGAAACUUGCCCCGAGAUGAGUUCUCCCUGAGACUUUAAGUCUCCUGAAGGAACGUU